rnacentral:lncRNA from 1 species
AUGGGACACAGGAGUUAUUACCUGGUAUCUCUGGGGGUCAUUAUUCAGCCUACUGUAGUUGUCAGUUAUGGAGUUUGCUUUUAUAACCUAUGUUUGCUGUACUUUUUCAUGAUGACGCUUACAAGUCUCAUUGUCUCAAUCUGGUGGGACCUGCAGGUACUAAUGGCUGUGACAUCUGGACAGGAGACAAGCAGCAACAGGAACAGAUCCCCUUUGCCCAUCGUCUGUGUGCUCCCAAGAGUCUUCUCUUCAAUCCCACUGGGGGUCCCCAGCACCCUGGGCCAGGCCUCUCCCUAUGUUACCAACAAGCGUUCCAAGUGUUCCUGUGAAGCCAGCUCUUCCUACGGAUGGGAUGGGAUCCCUUGGUAUUGAACAAUCACCAAGUCAAGUGAAGCAUGAGCUCUUUGUUCCCCUUGACCUUGUCUUCUAAUUGCUCACUGGUUUUUCUUAUCAGCUUGUGAGAUCUCCUUGUACAGGCUUGUGAAUAUUUUUGUGUGACAUAUGUGCCGAAAAUAUUUUUCCAAUUUAUCACUUUUCAUUUGAUUAGGUGUAUGGUAUCUUUCCCCAGGUGAUAUAUAUAUACACACACACACACACACACACAUAUAUAUAUGUAUAUACAUAUAUGAUAGAUACAAAUGACAAAUACAUGAAUAUAAUUGAACAUACACAGGAUUUACUGUCAAGAGUAAUAUGGUCUCCCCAUGUAUAGUUUUCCUUGUCUCUAAUUUUACUAAAUUGUGUUUGCAUUUAGAUCUUGGAUUAUUCAAAACAUUGCACUAUUUGUACAAUCAC